rnacentral:rRNA from 1 species
CCUGCCCAGUGACCACUGUGUUUAACGGCCGCGGUAUUAUAACCGUGCAAAGGUAGCGUAAUCAUUUGUCUUUUAAAUGAAGACCCGUAUGAACGGCACCACGAGGGUUUAACUGUCUCCUUCCCCUGGUCAAUGAAAUUGAUCUUCCCGUGCAGAAGCGGGAAUAAAAACAUAAGACGAGAAGACCCUAUGGAGCUUUAGGCUAAAGAUUCAAGCAUGUAAAGAAAUCUACGUGGAACAAAAGAAACGAACAGAUUUAAACCUAAUGUAAAAUGAUCACAUGCCUUCGGUUGGGGCGACCACGGGGAAAAGAAAAGCCCCCGAAUGGAAUGAAAACAUUCUCCUAAACCAAGAGGUACACCUCUAAGUAACAGAAAAUCUGACCAAACAUGACCCGGGAUAAACCUAAACCCGAUCAAUGAACCAAGUUACCCUAGGGAUAACAGCGCAAUCCUUUCCCAGAGUCCUUAUCGACGAAAGGGUUUACGACCUCGAUGUUGGAUCAGGACAUCCUAAUGGUGAAGCCGCUAUUAAGGGUUCGUUUGUUCAACGAUUAACAGUCCUACGUGAUCU